GACGAACGCUGGCGGCGUGCUUAACACAUGCAAGUCGAACGAAGUGGCGAACGGGUGAGUAACGCGUAAUCAACCUGCCCUUCAGAGGGGGACAACAGUUGGAAACGACUGCUAAUACCGCAUACUGAAGGAGGGGAUUGCGUCUGAUUAGCUAGUUGGAGGGGUAACGGCCCACCAGGGCGAUGAUCAGUAGCCGGUCUGAGAGGAUGAACUGCCACAAUGGGAAUGAGACAAGGCCCAGAAUCCUAAGGGAGGCAGCAGGGGGGAAUCUUCCGAAAUGGAGGGAAGUCUGACGGAGCAACGCCGCGUGAGUGAUGACGGGCUUCGGGUUGUAAAGCUCUGUUAAUCGGGACGCGGUACCGGAAGAGAAAGCCACGGCUAACUACGUGCCAGCAGCCGCGGUAAUUC
rnacentral:rRNA from 1 species